UCAAGGGAACCUUCCUCAAACUUCUACCAAUCUGAAACUUAGCCAAAUGCAUCUGUAUCCCCCUAGCUCCCAUCGACACGGAACUCAAAACCUCAAGAGAAGUAGAGAAAACACACCAAUGACAGCUUUGGUUUGUGCAAAUAAAAAAGGACAAGUUGUUGCACCAAACUUCUUUGAUGUGUUCCUCAUUGUUUUUGGCGAAG
rnacentral:misc_RNA from 1 species